AUGACAUGUCUUCCAUUGUAUACGGGAAGUUGCUCGACAUGAGACACUUGUGAUCAGAGAAGAGGCAUAUAUGAUUGAAGUCAGAACUUGUUCCACUAUUGAGUAUCAUCAUCAUUACAUCAUCUUCACCUCCCGCCCCCUCAACUCAGUCUCGGGUACUCAGUCGCCGAAGUGUUAUCGCCACUCUCCGCAUCAAUUUUGUUAUCAGACGUUGUCAUUUUACUAUUAGGUGCAACGGACUUUUCUCUUAUGUGUACGUCUAUUUGUGUCAAGAUGAAUAGCUUGAAGGCGUUUAAGGAGCCAUUCGAUAGAAUCAUCUCUGAACCAGUGGAGGACACAGAUACGAGUAGCUUCAUGGCAGAAAUGUCCUUGAAGUCCAACUAUCCAGUCCAAGUCACAGAUCCUCAAGAUACAGUGACACUGCAGCUGAGGUCCAUGCCACCUGGCUACCUCACACCUCUCUCAGACAGAAUAAGACAGGUGGGUGAUGGGCUCACUUACACUGAGAUAAAGUGUAGUUUCUUUGUGUUAGUUUCAUAUUAAUGUGAAAAUGUGGUGAUGAGCCUUGACAGGAUGCUCCUGUAAACUGUAGAUUACUAAAGAUAACUCCAACCGCUAAGCCAGCAUCUGAGAAUGUCAUGACCUGGUCUGUAAUGUUUGAGUCUUUGUAACUGGAACUAGUGGUUGGUGUCAAAACCACAAGACCGUUUUCCGUAUAGGAAAAGGUUUGUGAGUUGGUGGUUGUGUUAUUU
rnacentral:lncRNA from 1 species